rnacentral:tRNA from 1 species
GGCCCAAUGGUCUAGAGGUAUGAUUCGCCCUUCGGGUUUAACAACCCUUCAGCUUAGCUUGACUGGGCGAGGCCCCGCGUUCGAAUCGCGGUUGGGCCC